GAUGAACGCUGGCGGCGUGCCUAAUACAUGCAAGUCGAGCGAACAGACGAGGAGCUUGCUCCUCUGACGUUAGCGGCGGACGGGUGAGUAAAACGUGGAUAACCUACCUAUAAGACUGGGAUAACUUCAGGAAACCGGAGCUAAUACCGGAUAAUAUAUUGAACCGCAUGGUUCAAUAGUGAAAGACGGUUUUGCUGUCACUUAUAGAUGGAUCCGCGCCGCAUUAGCUAGUUGGUAAGGUAACGGCUUACCAAGGCAACGAUGCGUAGCCGACCUGCGAGGGUGAUCGACCACACUGGAACUGAGACACGCUCCAGACUCCUACGGGAGGCAGCAGUAGGGAAUCUUCCGCAAUGGGCGAAAGCCUGACGGAGCAACGCCGCGUGAGUGAUGAAGGUCUUCGGAUCGUAAAACUCUGUUAUUAGGGAAGAACAAAUGUGUAAGUAACUAUGCACGUCUUGACGGUACCUAAUCAGAAAGCCACGGCUAACUACGUG
rnacentral:rRNA from 1 species